UACGUAGGUGGCGAGUGUUGUCCGGAUUUACUGGGCGUAAAGAGCGCGCAGGCGGCUGGUCAAGUCCGAUGUGAAAGCUCCCGGCUUAACUGGGAAAUUGCAUCGGAAACUGAUCGGCUGGAAGGUGGGAGAGGGUAGCGGAAUUCCCGGUGUAGUGGUGAAAUGCGUAGAUAUCGGGAGGAACACCAGUGGCGAAAGCGGCUACCUGGCCCAUUCUUGACGCUGAGGCGCGAAAGCUAGGGGAGCAAACGGG
rnacentral:rRNA from 1 species